rnacentral:sRNA from 1 species
GGUUUGCACUUUGCGGGAAGGGUGAGAACCUUCGAUUAAGGUUCGGCUCAAGCGAAAGCGAGAGAACGUUGCCGCAGGCAACGGCCCGAAGGGUGAGGAGCGAAGCGACGAAUAAUCCUUCCCCCACCACCA